rnacentral:lncRNA from 1 species
UAAUCAUUAACUACAUUUUGCUCUUCACAUGGUUCAUCAUUUGAUUCCACAGCAGUUCCAGAUGGACCAAUAUCAGCAUCCUCAUUUGUAGUAUCAACACAACGAAGUAUCUUAACAUAUAUUUCUAUACUAGGUAUACCACCAAUUUGAUACAAGUAAUUAAACAUACUAGAUACAUCAUCUUCACCCCAUAUCUCCAUACAUUCAAAUUUUAAGGAUCCAUCCACAAUUGUAGGCUUUCUAAAACUAAUUGUCUCUAUAAAUUCAUUAUUCUCGGAUAAUCCAAUUGCACGAGUAAUUUUACCGACCAAUUGAUUAAAACUUAUCUGUUUACCCAUUGGAAUAAUCUUUGAAAAACCUCCAUCAUAAUCAUAACCAUUACAACUAUUUAUAAUAUUACCAUCCCAAUGAAUAUUAGC